AGGCUUAUAAACUUAUACAUACAAAGUAAAUUGGUUAGUUCAUAAAUAAUAAUAUUGUGAUUAAACUAGUAGAUUGUACAAGCCCAUUUUUGCCCGGGCCCAUAUCAGAAAAUAAACCAAAUUACAAACAGCCCAUUUUCAAAAUUUUGACCCAAUUACAAGCCCAAAAUCCCCAUGGCCCAAUCAAAUUAACCCAGGCCCAAUACAAUUACAAGCCCAAAACCCAUUUUCAAAAAAAAAGAAAGAAACAGAAAAACCCUAGCUCUAGGUGCGCCGCACCUAGGGCCUUCUGACUCUUCCGAUCCUUGACCUACCAACUGCCACUGCCGCGCGUUUGUCACCGCCAUUGUCCCAUCACCGACGCAUGUCAAUCACCUACAGAAGAAAGAUCAACACGCAAACAGCAAAAAUAAUAGGAAAAAUAGAAAACAAACCGGCUAUAAAAAGCCGAAUUCCCUUCUGUAGUUUCUUCUUUUUUUACAACAAUUAAUGAAAGGAGAUAAAAAAAAACUAAAAAGGUUGAUUCCAAAGUUCUUUUUUGCCUCUGCUCUUACUCUUUUAUUUCUAUCUCCUGUUGUUUGUUUUUUUUACUAUUCUUCUAAACUAAAAAAACAAAACGAAAAGAAAGGAAAAGGGACACUUACUGGUCUUGAAAGCCCGUCGCCGGAGACCACCUUCGGCGUUGGAAUCGGACUGAAAAGGGGUAGGAAAAACCCCUCCUUUUUCGUUUUUUCGGGACUAAAUGGGUAGAUCUUUAGGGGGGUCGAGAAUGGGGUUAAAAACCCACCUUUUCUUGCCAAGGCCACCUCUCACGGCGGAGCCCCGGCGUUGGUAGCCGGCUGUGGUAUCUGACGGAAAAGGGGGAAGAGAACAGAGAGUUCUCUGUUGUUUUUUUAAAUGUAAUGAAAAUAUUUUUUUUUCUUUAUUUUUUGCUAUUUAUGCAGGCCAUCAUAUGGCGCCAUUUUGGGCUUAAGUUUUAUGACCAA
rnacentral:lncRNA from 1 species